CAGGAUGAACGCUGGCGGCGGUGCCUAACACAUGCAAGUCGAACGGAGCUUACUUGAAGGAGACUUCGGUCAACGGAAGGGUAAGCUUAGUGGCGGACGGGUGAGUAACGCGUGGAGAACCUGCCCUGUACAGGGGGGAUAACAGUGAGAAAUCACUGCUAAUACCGCAUAAGCGCACAGUACCGCAUGGUACAGUGUGAAAAAACUCCGGUGGUACAGGAUGGCUCCGCGUUGGAUUAGCCAGUUGGCGGGGUAACGGCCCACCAAAGCGACGAUCCAUAGCCGGCCUGAGAGGGUGAACGGCCACAUUGGGACUGAGACACGGCCCAGACUCCUACGGGAGGCAGCAGUGGGGAAUAUUGCACAAUGGGGGAAACCCUGAUGCAGCGAACCGCCGCGUGAAGGAAGAAGUAUCUCGGUAUGUAAACUUCUAUCAGCAGGGAAGAUGAUGACGGUACCUGACUAAGAAGCCCCGGCUGACUACGUGCCAGCCGCAGC
rnacentral:rRNA from 1 species